UACGAGGGGAGCAAGCGUUGUUCGGAUUUACUGGGCGUAAAGGGCGCGUAGGCGGCUCUACAAGUCACUUGUGAAAUCUCCGGGCUUAACUCGGAAAGGUCAACUGAUACUGUGCGACUAGAGUGCGGAAGGGGCAACUGGAAUUCUCGGUGUAGCGGUGAAAUGCGUAGAUAUCGAGAGGAACACCUGCGGCGAAGGCGGGUUGCUGGGCCGACACUGACGCUGAUGCGCGAAAGCCAGGGGAGCGAACGGG
rnacentral:rRNA from 1 species